UACGGAGGGUGCAAGCGUUAUCCGGAUUUACUGGGUUUAAAGGGUGCGUAGGCGGUUAGGUAAGUCAGGGGUGAAAUCUUCGAGCUUAACUCGGAAAUUGCCUUUGAUACUAUCUAUCUUGAAUAUUGUGGAGGUAAGCGGAAUAUGUCAUGUAGCGGUGAAAUGCUUAGAGAUGACAUAGAACACCUAUUGCGAAGGCAGCUUACUACGCAUAUAUUGACGCUGAGGCACGAAAGCGUGGGGAGCAAACAGG
rnacentral:rRNA from 1 species